UGGCUCAGUGGUUAAGAGCGCUGACUACUCUUUCAGAGGGCCUGAGUUCAAGUCUCAG
rnacentral:tRNA from 1 species